UGUCUAGAUCCCUCCGUCCCAAAUUAUUUGUCUAAGAUUUGUCUACAUAUAGAUGUAUCUAGACACGUUUUAGUAUUAGAUACAUCCGUAUACAAAUUUAAAACAAGUAAUUUGGGACGUAGGUUUUAGCGU
rnacentral:pre_miRNA from 1 species